AACAACAGCAGCAAGAAUACUCAUCGCAAAGUAUUGGAAGACACAAGAACUUCCCACGCUGGAGGAAUGGCAGAUGAAACUUAUGGACUAUAUGGAAUUGGCGGAAAUGACUGGUAGAAUCCGUGACCAGGGAGAAGAGUCGAUGGAGGAAGACUGGAAGAAAUUCAAAGACUAUCUUCAGAAACACUGCAAAAUUAAGGAAUGUUAGAGUGAUGUUGGACUGAAAAUAAGUGGUUUCCAGCUGCACAGGUUAAAGUUAAGGAUAGAUUAAGAUUAAAGAUUAAGAUU
rnacentral:lncRNA from 1 species